rnacentral:rRNA from 1 species
AGUGAACGCUGGCGGUAGGCCUAGCACAUGCAAGUCGAACGGCAGCACAGUAAGAGCUUGCUCUUACGGGUGGCGAGUGGCGGACGGGUGAGGAAUACAUCGGAAUCUACUUUUUCGUGGGGGAUAACGUAGGGAAACUUACGCUAAUACCGCAUACGACCUACGGGUGAAAGCAGGGGAUCUUCGGACCUUGCGCGAUUGAAUGAGCCGAUGUCGGAUUAGCUAGUUGGCGGGGUAAAGGCCCACCAAGGCGACGAUCCGUAGCUGGUCUGAGAGGAUGAUCAGCCACACUGGAACUGAGACACGGCCCAGACGCCUACGGGAGGCAGCAGUGGGGAAUAUUGGACAAUGGGGGCAAGCCGGAUCCAGCCAUACCGCGUGGGGGAAGAAGGCCUUCGGGUGGUAAAGCCCUUUUGUGGGGAAAGAAAAGCAGCAGGUUAAUACCCCGCUGUUCUGACGGUACCCAAAGAAGAAGCACCGGCUAACUUCGUG